GAUGAACGCUGGCGGCGUGCCUAAUACAUGCAAGUCGAGCGAACGGACGAGAAGCUUGCUUCUCUGAUGUUAGCGGCGGACGGGUGAGUAACACGUGGAUAACCUACCUAUAAGACUGGGAUAACUUCGGGAAACCGGAGCUAAUACCGGAUAAUAUUUUGAACCGCAUGGUUCAAAAGUGAAAGACGGUCUUGCUGUCACUUAUAGAUGGAUCCGCGCUGCAUUAGCUAGUUGGUAAGGUAACGGCUUACCAAGGCAACGAUGCAUAGCCGACCUGAGAGGGUGAUCGGCCACACUGGAACUGAGACACGGUCCAGACUCCUACGGGAGGUAGCAGUAGGGAAUCUUCCGCAAUGGGCGAAAGCCUGACGGAGCAACGCCGCGUGAGUGAUGAAGGUCUUCGGAUCGUAAAACUCUGUUAUUAGGGAAGAACAUAUGUGUAAGUAACUGUGCACAUCUUGACGGUACCUAAUCAGAAAGCCACGGCUAACUACGCG
rnacentral:rRNA from 1 species